rnacentral:rRNA from 1 species
UUAUACCGCAUAAUAUCUUGUGGAUUAAAGGUGGCUUAGGCUGCCGCAGAUGGAUGAGCCUGCGUUGGAUUAGCUAGUUGGUGGGGUAAGGGCCUACCAAGGCUACGAUCCAUAGCUGAUUUGAGAGGAUGAUCAGCCACAUUGGGACUGAGACACGGCCCAAACUCCUACGGGAGGCAGCAGUGGGGAAUAUUGGACAAUGGGGGAAACCCUGAUCCAGCAAUGCCAUGUGUGUGAAGAAGGCUCUAGGGUUGUAAAGCACUUUAGUUGGGGAGGAAAGCCUAUGAGUUAAUAGCUUGUAGGAAGGACGUUACCCAAAGAAUAAGGACCGGCUAACUCCGUGCCAGCAGCCGCGGUAAUACGGGGGGUCCGAGCGUUAAUCGGAAUUACUGGGCGUAAAGGGUCUGUAGGUGGUUUGUUAAGUCAGAUGUGAAAGCCCAGGGCUCAACCUUGGAACUGCAUUUGAUACUGGCAAACUAGAGUAUGGUAGAGGAAUGGGGAAUUUCUGGUGUAGCGGUGAAAUGCGUAGAGAUCAGAAGGAACACCAAUGGCGAAGGCAACAUUCUGGACCAAUACUGACACUGAGGGACGAAAGCGUGGGGAUCAAACAGGAUUAGAUACCCUGGUAGUCCACGCUGUAAACGAUGAGUACUAGCUGUUGGAUUCGGUGUAAAGGAUCUAGUGGCGCAGCUAACGCGUUAAGUACUCCGCCUGGGGACUACGGCCGCAAGGCUAAAACUCAAAGGAAUUGACGGGGACCCGCACAAGCGGUGGAGCAUGUGGUUUAAUUCGAUGCAACGCGAAGAACCUUACCUGGUCUUGACAUCCUGCGAACUUUCUAGAGAUAGAUUGGUGCCUUCGGGAACGCAGUGACAGGUGCUGCACGGCUGUCGUCAGCUCGUGUUGUGAAAUGUUGGGUUAAGUCCCGCAACGAGCGCAACCCCUAUUGAUAGUUACCAUCAUUAAGUUGGGUACUCUAUUGAGACUGCCGCUGACAAGGCGGAGGAAGGUGGGGACGACGUCAAGUCAUCAUGGCCCUUACGACCAGGGCUACACACGUGCUACAAUGGGUAUUACAGAGGGCUGCGAAAG